rnacentral:lncRNA from 1 species
UGUGCCGGAGGACAAGGUGAACCCGCAGCCGGACUUCUGCUGCACUGGGGCUCCGAAUGACCCAGAAUCUGGGGAGUGAGAUGGCCUCAAUCUUGCGAAGCCCUCAGGCUCUCCAGCUCACUCUAGCCCUGAUCAAGCCUGACGCAGUCGCCCAUCCACUGAUUCUGGAGGUAAGAAUGAAUCCUAAGUCUCUACCGCAUGCCCUGGGAAUUGCUACUGCUUCAGGUGCCAUUGGGCCAUUUAUGGUGACUGACAACACAGACUUGUGCUGGAUGCUGUGGAGGCAAAGCUAGAAGCCAUGAACUCUGACCUAAGGAGACUAAGAAUCCAUUGGAGACUUGAGGCAGACCUAAAAUGUAAGAAAGGACCCAAAGCAAUAAUAGAACCGAAUAUCAAGACAAUGUGUAUUUGUUAGUUUCUAUUGCUACAUAACACAUUACUCCAGACUUGAGAGCUUAAAACAACACUUAUUUGUUAUUUCACAGUUCAG